rnacentral:rRNA from 1 species
UGGUAAUGCCGGAUGCUCCAUCACACCGCAUGGUGUGUUGGGAAAGCCUUUGCGGCAUGGGAUGGGGUCGCGUCCUAUCAGCUUGAUGGCGGGGUAACGGCCCACCAUGGCUUCGACGGGUAGCCGGCCUGAGAGGGCGACCGGCCACAUUGGGACUGAGAUACGGCCCAGACUCCUACGGGAGGCAGCAGUGGGGAAUAUUGCACAAUGGGCGCAAGCCUGAUGCAGCGACGCCGCGUGAGGGAUGGAGGCCUUCGGGUUGUAAACCUCUUUUGUUAGGGAGCAAGGCACUUUGUGUUGAGUGUACCUUUCGAAUAAGCACCGGCUAACUACGUGCCAGCAGCCGCGGUAAUACGUAGGGUGCAAGCGUUAUCCGGAAUUAUUGGGCGUAAAGGGCUCGUAGGCGGUUCGUCGCGUCCGGUGUGAAAGUCCAUCGCUUAACGGUGGAUCCGCGCCGGGUACGGGCGGGCUUGAGUGCGGUAGGGGAGACUGGAAUUCCCGGUGUAACGGUGGAAUGUGUAGAUAUCGGAAAAGA